AUUUUAAAAUCAUAUUAUAAAAUUAUAAACAGUGAGCGGCAUCUAGUAAUGCAUCACUGCUACCCAAGUAAUAAUAAGAUCGAUGAUUCGAUGCAACCUUUUCGUGACCAAUGUUUCAAUGUAAUUUAAUCCUUUUAACCUUAAUAUCCUAGAUUAAACUCGAGUCAUGGAAUGUGUCAUACUCUUCAUAAUUUAAUCUGAGUUUUUUGAUCAAUGAGUAGACUAUAUGAAACAAAUCACUAUUUGAGCAUGGCCAUGCAUUUCAUAGUCCUACUCAAUCAAAAAGGCCUAUGGAUAUCACCCAUAAUAUAUAGGAUGGUUAAAUUACAUCUACAUCACUCAUAUUUCUCACACGAUUAAUGAUGAACCCAAUAAUCAUCUUUAUAGUCCACCCUAUUAAAGGUGACAUUUGAUGAUAUCAAAGUACAUAAAUUCUCGUGUAGUAAUAUAGCGAUUUCAGGUCGGAGGACCAUUACAUCAUUGUCACUAUGAGAAUUCCUAACGACACUUCGCAUAAUGCUCCAUAUAGAAUUCUCAUGGUGGGUCUGUCCAGUACAUCGUUCUCUAACAUGUACCUAUGCAUUGACUUAAUAUCUCAUAUAUUUAUGACCAAUGAGAUUUGGUCAUCAGUCAAUCCACAUACUAGUCUCCAUGCAUCAUUGUUGUCCCAUCAACAAUGAUACUC
rnacentral:lncRNA from 1 species